AAACUGAGGGUAAUACUUGAUAGGAAAUAAUUUCUGGAAUGAUUUAUUUCUGAAAUUCGAGCCAAAGGAUGGGGCUGCGGCUGAUUAGCUUGUUGUUGGUGUAAUGGACUAACAAGGCGAUGAUCAGUAAGGGCUCUUAGCGGAGAGGCCCUAAGAAGGAAUCUUAGACACUAUUCCUAGCCCUACGGGGUGCAGCAGCUGAGGAAAUUUUACAAUGCACGAAAGUGUGAUAGAAUAAACCAGAGUGAUUCUCUAUGAGAAUCUUUUGUCUACUGUAAAAAGGUAGACGAAUAAGGACUGGGCAAGACCGGUGCCAGCCGCCGCGGUAAUACCGGCGGUCCAAGUCGUAUCCACAUUUAUUGGGUCUAAAACAUUCGUAGCUUGUUUUGUAAGUUUCUUGUGAAAUCCUAUACCUCAAGUAUAGGGCGUGCAAGAAAUACUACAUUACUAGAGACCGGAAGACGUAAGGAGUAUGAUUGAGGUAGCGGUAAAAUGUGUUAAUCUUGAUUAGACUAACAAUGGCGAAGGCACCUUACGAGUACGGAUCUGACAGUGAGGGAUGAAGGCUAGGGUCGCGAAAGGGAUUAGAUACCCCUGUAGUCCUAGCAGUAAACACUGUUCACUAAACAUUA
rnacentral:rRNA from 1 species